AAGCCCUUUUUUUUAGCAGUGAG
rnacentral:miRNA from 15 species